rnacentral:tRNA from 1 species
GACCAGAUGGUGUAAAACACAUUAAGUUGCAAGCUUAAAGAAGUUCGCUCUGGUUA